rnacentral:rRNA from 1 species
AGUGGACGCUGGCGGUAGGCCUAACACAUGCAAGUCGAACGGCAGCACAGUAAGAGCUUGCUCUUACGGGUGGCGAGUGGCGGACGGGUGAGGAAUACGUCGGAAUCUACUUUUUCGUGGGGGAUAACGUAGGGAAACUUACGCUAAUACCGCAUACGACCUACGGGUGAAAGCAGGGGAUCUUCGGACCUUGCGCGAUUGAAUGAGCCGAUGUCGGAUUAGCUAGUUGGCGGGGUAAAGGCCCACCAAGGCGACGAUCCGUAGCUGGUCUGAGAGGAUGAUCAGCCACACUGGAACUGAGACACGGUCCAGACUCCUACGGGAGGCAGCAGUGGGGAAUAUUGGACAAAGGGCGCAAGCCUGAUCCAGCCAUACCGCGUGGGUGAAGAAGGCCUUCGGGUUGUAAAGCCCUUUUGUUGGGAAAGAAAAGCAGCAGGUUAAUACCCCGCUGUUCUGACGGUACCCAAAGAAUAAGCACCGGCUAACUUCGUG